UAUAACAACAGGGAGGGAGAUAAAACAGAAGAGACUCUUAAAUACAGAGGACAGAGGGGUGCUGGAAGGGUUGUGGGUGGGGGGAUGGGCUACAUGGGUAGAGGGCAUUAAGGAACACACUUGUGGGGUGUUAUACGCAGGGGAUGAAUCACUGGAACCUACUGUUGAAAUCGUUAUUGCGCUAUAUGCUAACUAACUUGGAUGUAAAUUAAAAAAAUAAUCGAUUAAUUAAUUAAAUUUAAAAAAUAAAAUAAACAUUGGGAAAGACAAAGAAAAGUAGGGGCUCUUGUGCCAGAAAGAUAAUGGACAUCUUAGGAGAGGUGUGGCCUUGAACAAGCACAGGGCCUCCCUGAGUCUCGGUUCCUCCCCCCGAAGCUGAAUGCACACUUUUCAAGACUGUGUUUGGGGUGAGAUUCAGUAAUGACACUACAGUCAUACUAACUUCUUUCUAGUGCCUCUCGUGCCGAGUAUUUUCAUUUGCUUUACUCAUUUAAUCUCACCACCAUCCCGAGAGGUGGGAUUUUUGUCCCCGUCUCCAGACGAAAGCUAAAGUUGAGAGGAGGGGUUAGACCAACAACCGAUGAAUGGCCGGACUUUGCCUAGAAACCAGGCCUCCUAAAUCCUACCCGGCGCUCAGACGCAGGAGUGAAGAUUUACAUCGAUUUGUGUGCACCUGCCUGAGUGCCAGGAGCGGCCAAGCCCAGGCAAAACUUUGAAGUAAGCCAAGUACCUGGUUUUUUCCCCAGGAUCACACUCCCCACUCACACUGCUGCACCCCCCCAGCCUCCCCCCCCCCGCCCCGGAACAGAACGCUGGGCCAUAACUGCCGUCUGCUCAGGGGCUGGCAAACUUUUUCUAUAGACGACCAGAUAGCAAAUAGUUCAGCUUGGGCAGUAUGUAAACAACUGGGUGUGGUGCGUUCUAAUAAAACCUCACUUAUAAAAAUAGGACCACGGGCCAUCGUGUGCACACCCCUGUUUAACUUAGCGCACACUCUGGUGUCCCAUCUCGUAGCCAGUCUGCUCUGUGCUCAUGACAAUGGGUAGGAGGCGGUAUUGCCCAAAGUGUGGUUUACACCGUGGGUGUAUGCAAAGCCCUUUAGAUGUUACAGAGAUACUCUUCAUUUUAAUAAUUAUGUAUUUAAAUGAAUGUGUAUUGUAAAAUACGUAAUUAGCCCAUAGAACUCAUGAUUGCUCAUCGAUCCAUUCACUCGUAUAACAAAUAUUUGUUCAGCCCCUACGAUGGUCCAGGCACCGCUCUAGAUGCUGGAGAUUCGGAAAUGAGUCAGCCAGACAAAAAUCCCCGCCCUCGUGGAGCUCACACUCCAGGAGGGGAGACACAACAUAGUGGCCACGUGUUGUUCAGUAUCAGUUGUCAGAAGAUGAGGUGAGAAGCUGAGAUACCUCGGUGUGUUUAGGUGUCAGGUGUUGAGGCUCAACCACUGACCCUUCUCCCGGGGUCCAGCAUGCUGAUGCCAUCCCUUCUGGUCUCCAUGCCACAAGCUCCAGUGCUCUGCUCCCCCGCGCCCCCUUCAGGAAAGCCAGUGGGCACCUUGAGGUUGGGAUUCAGAGCCCAUAAUCUGCUUUGUCCCCUUAACCCUAAAUAUUAGUGAGUUUUAAAUAGCCUCUGAGCCCCAGCUGUCCUUAGAAGCCCCGUCCGCAGUGAUGUUUGGACUCUCCGGGCAGCGAGGGGGGCCGGGAAAGCUCUGGGCAGCCUCCCCCGGCUUGCAGUGGGCACAUGGCAGGGUGACUUCACCUCCUCAUGCUUCCAGGUGAGCGCCGGGGAGGGUGGGGCCCAGCCAGGGUGGGGAGACGGGUUUGUAGCCUUGGGUUCCCCUCCCGCUGCAUCUUGACUCAGUUGCUCCAAACAAACGGAAGAUUUGCUCUUGGCACCAACAACUACCUUAACCCAUGCUCUCAACCUCCGUGGCAGAUGCAGGGCAAGGAGCAGAGAGCGUGGGGGGUAGAUCUUGGGCGCGAGGCCACCCGGUUGAUGAGCGCUAAGGGCCCUAACUCACUGUACCCAGCACCCCCCUUCCAGCUGAUCAGGAGUCCCGGUGAUUACUCGGGGAGAUGACAGUUCGACCACCGUGCAGACCUUCGGACCGACUCGAGAGAAGGCCCCACCUGUGGCCGGCGCCCAAGGCGGAUGGAUCCUGCUCCCCGCUGCCCCUGCACGAGGAAGGCUCGGCUUUCUAACAGCGGGCCCUCCUCGCUCACAGCCCGGAGUGGUCCAGAGCUGAGCAAAGAAGAUCUGACGAAUCAGACAGCACAGGAGGAGGGCCGAAGAAGUGGCUGUUCUGAUCCUGUGACCUCCAUUCCUUCUUCUCCUGUUUUCAGUGGGCUCUCAAUGUUUUUGGUUCCUGCCCUCCGACAUGGAAUUGAGGUACGUCUGAGAUAGAGCUGGUGCCUCUUCCAGAGGUGGACCAACUGUGGGCUUUUGACAGGACUGCUGUGUACGGUUAUACAUGCUGUGCACUGCACUUGACCAUCACAACUGAGGGGUUCCAGUCACACCGUGGGUAGUUAAUGCAUAAGCACGCCUGAAUCAUGCAGAGUUUGUGGGCUUCCAAGACGAGUCCUGAGUAGCUAGAGGGAACCCCCUCCUCCAUUAAACUGUACAAGUUCAUGUAGCCAUGUAUACACACACACUCACUGGUCCUCUUCUGACUACAUUCUUACAUUCCCAGAGACUGUAUCUCUCUCAUCCCAGGAGGCUUGAAUUCAACCUUCCAUCUGACUCCACACCUGACACCAUCAGCUCCCACGGCAUGGGGAUAGGGGACAUUGAGCGUGUGCCUUAUGGCCUGGGGUGUGUGUGUGUGUGUGUGUGUGUGUGUGUGUGUGUGUGUGUGUGAGUGAGGGCACCACCACACAGGUGCAUGGUGAACUGCUACAGCUGAUCCUGGAAAGUUCCUAGACCAAGCCUAGGGGCCCGUCUGUGACAAAGGUUGUCCCUGUCACAUGACACUGCUGUGUACAUGAUACGUGUAACUAAAAGGAAACAACCAAAAUGUGAACAGGGCUCUUUCUGGGUCAUGACAUCACCAGCGAUAGUAUAAUCUUUGCUUUUUUUUUUUUUUAAUUUUUUUUUCAACGUUUUUUAUUUA